rnacentral:rRNA from 1 species
GAUCAUGGCUCAGGACGAACGCUGGCGGCGUGCCUAAUACAUGCAAGUCGAACGAACCGCGACCUAGUGCUUGCACUUGGUCAAGGUGAGUGGCGAACGGGUGAGUAACACGUGGGUAACCUACCUCAUAGUGGGGGAUAACAGUCGGAAACGACUGCUAAUACCGCAUAGGACAUGGAAUCACAUGAUUCUGUGAGGAAAGGUGGCGCAAGCUAUCGCUAAGAGAUGGACCCGCGG